rnacentral:rRNA from 1 species
GACGAACGCGGCGGCGUGCCUAAUACAUGCAAGUCGAGCGGACAGAUGGGAGCUUGCUCCCUGAUGUUAGCGGCGGACGGGUGAGUAACACGUGGGUAACCUGCCUGUAAGACUGGGAUAACUCCGGGAAACCGGGGCUAAUACCGGAUGGUUGUUUGAACCGCAUGGUUCAAACAUAAAAGGUGGCUUCGGCUACCACUUACAGAUGGACCCGCGGCGCAUUAGCUAGUUGGUGAGGUAAUGGCUCACCAAGGCAACGAUGCGUAGCCGACCUGAGAGGGUGAUCGGCCACACUGGGACUGAGACACGGCCCAGACUCCUACGGGAGGCAGCAGUAGGGAAUCUUCCGCAAUGGACGAAAGUCUGACGGAGCAACGCCGCGUGAGUGAUGAAGGUUUUCGGAUCGUAAAGCUCUGUUGUUAGGGAAGAACAAGUACCGUUC